rnacentral:rRNA from 1 species
UACGUAGGGUGCGAGCGUUGUCCGGAAUUAUUGGGCGUAGAGGGCUCGUAGGCGGUUUGUCACGUCAGGAGUGAAAACUCGGGGCUCAACCCCGAGCCUGCUUCUGAUACGGGCAGACUAGAGGUAUGCAGGGGAGAACGGAAUUCCUGGUGUAGCGGUGAAAUGCGCAGAUAUCAGGAAGAACACCCGUGGCGAAAGCGGCUCUCUGGGACGGUACUGACGCUGAGACGCGAAAGCGUGGGGAGCGAACAGG